AUUGAACGCUGGCGGCAUGCCUUACACAUGCAAGUCGAACGGCAGCGGGGGAGAAGCUUGCUUUUCCUGCCGGCGAGUGGCGAACGGGUGAGUAAUACAUCGGAACGUGCCCUGUAGUGGGGGAUAACCAGUCGAAAGAUUAGCUAAUACCGCAUACGACCUGAGGGUGAAAGUGGGGGACCGCAAGGCCUCAUGCUAUAGGAGCGGCCGAUGUCUGAUUAGCUAGUUGGGGGGGUAAAGGCCUACCAAGGCGACGAUCAGUAGCUGGGCCGGGAGGACGAGCAGCCACACUGGGACUGAGACACGGCCCAGACUCCUACGGGAGGCAGCAGUGGGGAAUUUUGGACAAUGGGCGAAAGCCUGAUCCAGCAAUGCCGCGUGUGUGAAGAAGACCUUCGGGUUGUAAAGCACUUUUGUCCGGAAAGAAAUGGCUCUGGCUAAUACCUGGGGUCGAUGACGGUACCGGAAGAAUAAGGACCGGCUAACUACGUGCCAGCCGCCGCGGUAA
rnacentral:rRNA from 1 species